CCAGCGUUUCAGGAAGAUCUGCAGGUGAGUCCACGGCAGACUGCAGUUGCAGAAGCCCUGAUCUAGAACAGGUACUUCAGGCAGGUUUCUCCUGAGUUCUGAAAGAGUGGAGAGGGUUAGCAAUACAGGCAGCUCUCACCAGCACUAACACCCAGGGCGCCGGUUAGUAUAAGAGCCAAGUGAUCUCAAUUAUGCCAAUUUCAGAGUCACGUUCAGCCAUACUGGUUGGUUAAAGAGCCAAGGCAAUGAACUGAGCAGAGCCAGGACGGGGCUGCAGGACGUUACUCCGGAAGCCGAAGACAACCUCAUGGUCAUUUGAUCUGAGAAAACAUCUAUUAACAACACACAGAGGGACUUCCCUGGUGGUCCAGUGGUCGAGAAUCUGCCUUCCAAUGCAGGGGACGCAGGUUCGAUCCCUGGUCUGGGAACUAAGAUCCCACAUGCUGUGGGGCAACUAAGCCUGCGCGCCACAACUACUGAGCCUGCCACGGUCUGGAGCCCAUGCAUCACAACUAGAGAGCCCACAUGCCACAGCUACUGAGCCUGCGUGCUCUAGAGCCCAUGCCACAACUAGAGAGAAGCCCACGUGCCGCAACAAAGAGCCCAUGCACCACAGUGAAAGAUCCCGCAUACCGCAAGGAAGAUCGCACGUGCUGCAACUAAGACCUGAUGCAGCCAAAUAAAUAUUUUUUAUAAGAAAGCCAUCAACAGUAGCCUUUGGACCCAUCAUUUAGAAGGUUCUCGACACACCACGACCUCAAGGGUUGGAUUGGGUUCUGCUCUUUGCCACAUUUUGCCCAUUUGAGAACAAGAGGAGCUGAGCACACUUUGCUCUGAGGCAGUUCUGAGUUUAAGCCUCACCUUUCUGGAUCAAAUUCAUCGACAGCUGGGGAUUCACGCUUGUGGACUUGCUGUUUCAAAGUCAGAUGCUUUUCCUUAUUGGCCAGAAACUCCUAUUCCAGCAGUUCGAGGUGUCCCUGCAUUUUCUCGAGGACCUGUAACAGUGGAGUCACUGGAAUCAUUCACAGAUCCACCCUCCAACUUUCUCUGUGCCCCAGCCAGGAGGCUGGCCUUCAAUGGACUGUAUCAAUAGGCUCCCAGGCCUCUGGUUUUGGUUGAUUUCAGCCAAUGGAAGACAACAGCAGGAGAGAGGAACUGAAGAAGGAUGAGUUGGAAGUUGGCUGCAAUUGAAUAAUAGAGCAAAACCUGAUCAUGCUGUGCCUGCUUCUUCUGGGUAGCUUUGACUGUAAGAAAUCAGCUUUGAAGACUACAUAGGGAACCUCUGAUGUGAUCUAAACUUGUCUUUUUUUUUUGUUGCUUUUGUUGUUCUUUUAAGAGCCUUCAAAAAUACUGACUUUGACUCUGUUUUAAUUUUCAAAUUCUCUCCCUCUGUUCCUAGCUCAAGAUUUCUAUUUACCCAUGAAAGCAAAUAGGAGAUGGCUCAGAGUAGUAUAUCCUAGGCCACGCCCAGAGGUCAGGUAGUCAUGGAUUUUGUAUCCAGUGUAUGGUGUUUCUAGAUUAAAAUAUGUUCAGAGGUAAUGUGAUAGAAGGCUCCCUCUGCAAUGACUGCAUUUGAUUACGCUCUGGUAAUUCUAUCAGCUAACUCUAUCUCAGAAAUGUAGGGUGCCCACAAAUGCAGUGUCUGUGACUGUAACCACACACCAUUCAGGGCGACGGUCUGGCUUCAUCCCGCUAUUGUUGAGUGGCAGUAGGAAGACACUGUGAAGGAGCAACAAACCAAUCCAAUCCUCCCUGGAGAGCCGAUAGAUGUAUUAUUCAUAGUCAGUCUUAGCAAUGUAGGCCUUCCAUGAGUGUACGCAAAGUUGAUGACCAGCUGCUACAAGUUGUCUAUCUUGAAACUGUUUUAAAAGAACAAAAAAUUUUUUUGAGACUGAGUAAACUAGUGUAUGGAGAAGCUUCCUCUUGGUGUUUUACCAGCAGCCUUUGCUUACUUUCCUUGCCCUUUGGUGGUCAGUGCUGUCCUUUUAUCCAAUUUUCCCACUGACAUAGCCAGGUAAUCAUCAUAGAUUGUUGGAUUUGUAUGGUAAACAAUGGACCUUUGCUGUGCUUUGGGAACGUUUAGAAAACUCUUACCAGUUGAUUUUCUAAAAAUAAUACUUACCACAAAUUUCAAAACACGCUUGAUUUAAAGAAGUAUAAUACCUCAUCCUUUCCCUAAACUUUCUAGCUUGAGUUUGGCAACCUCUGCCUAGAGAUAAGAAGGGCCAGAAUAUUUUAGGAAAAUUCUUUCUCUUUUGUUUAAAGACUUGCUCUUCUUUCCCUCACAUUUUACCCCCUGUCUAAAGGAAGAACAUUGACUUGAAAUUAUCAAUAAAUGUUUUAAAGAAUAAAAUG